rnacentral:rRNA from 1 species
UGGGAUAGCCAUUGGAAACGAUGAUUAAUACUAGAUACUCCUUUGAAACAUAAGUUUUAAAGGGAAACGUUUUUUCGCUAAGAGAUGAGACUAUAUCCCAUCAGGUAGUUGGUAGUGUAAGAGACUACCAAGCCAAUGACGGGUAGCGGGUUUGAGAGGAUGAUCCGCCACACUGGUACUGAGACACGGACCAGACUCCUACGGGAGGCAGCAGUGAGGAAUAUUGCACAAUGGAGGAAACUCUGAUGCAGCAACGCCGCGUGGAGGAUGACGCAUUUCGGUGUGUAAACUCCUUUUAUAUGUCAAGAAAAUGACGGUAGCAUAUGAAUAAGCACCGGCUAACUCCGUGCCAGCAGCCGCGGUAAUACGGAGGGUGCAAGCGUUAUCCGGAUUUAUUAGGUUUAAAGGGUUCGCAGGCGGAAUUUUAAGUCAGUGGUGAAAGCCUAUAGCUCAACUAUAGAACUGCCAUUGAUACUGAAAUUCUUGAGUAUAGAUGAAGUGGGCGGAAUAUGUCAUGUAGCGGUGAAAUGCAUAGAUAUGACAUGGAACACCAAUUGCGAAGGCAGCUCACUAAACUAUUACUGACGCUCAUGAACGAAAGCGUGGGGAGCGAACAGGAUUAGAUACCCUGGUAGUCCACGCCGUAAACUAUGAUCACUAGAUGUUGGCGAUAUAUUGUCAGUGUUUUAGAGAAAUCGUUAAGUGAUCCACCUGGGGAGUACGUUCGCAAGAAUGAAACUCAAAGGAAUUGACGGGGGCCCGCACAAGCGGAGGAGCAUGUGGUUUAAUUCGAUGAUACGCGAGGAACCUUACCAAGACUUAAAUGUAUUUUGACAGAUUGGGAAAUCAAUUUUUCUUCGGACAAUUUACAAGGUGCUGCAUGGUUGUCGUCAGCUCGUGCCGUGAGGUGUCGGGU